rnacentral:rRNA from 1 species
AUUGAACGCUGGCGGCAUGCUUUACACAUGCAAGUCGAACGGUAACAGGCCGCAAGGUGCUGACGAGUGGCGAACGGGUGAGUAAUGCAUCGGAACGUGCCCAGUCGUGGGGGAUAACGCAGCGAAAGCUGCGCUAAUACCGCAUACGAUCUCUGGAUGAAAGCGGGGGACCGAAAGGCCUCGCGCGAUUGGAGCGGCCGAUGUCAGAUUAGGUAGUUGGUGGGGUAAAGGCCCACCAAGCCAACGAUCUGUAGCGGGUCUGAGAGGACGACCAGCCAAACUGGGACUGAGACACGGCCCAGACUCCUACGGGAGGCAGCAGUGGGGAAUUUUGGACAAUGGGCGCAAGCCUGAUCCAGCAAUGCCGCGUGCAGGAAGAAGGCCUUCGGGUUGUAAACUGCUUUUGUACGGAACGAAACGGUUCGGGUUAAUACCCUGGGCUAAUGACGGUACCGUAAGAAUAAGCACCGGCUAACUACGUGCCAGCAGCCGCCGUAACAC